UACACUCCUGCGGGAGGCAGCAGUGGGGAAUUUUGGACAAUGGGCGAAAGCCUGAUCCAGCAAUGCCGCGUGAGUGAAGAAGGCCUUCGGGUUGUAAAGCUCUUUUGUCAGGGAAGAAACGGUGAGAGCUAAUAUCUUUUGCUAAUGACGGUACCUGAAGAAUAAGCACCGGCUAACUACGUGCCAGCAGCCGCGGUAAUACGUAGGGUGCAAGCGUUAAUCGGAAUUACUGGGCGUAAAGCGUGCGCAGGCGGUUUUGUAAGUCUGAUGUGAAAUCCCCGGGCUCAACCUGGGAAUUGCAUUGGAGACUGCAAGGCUAGAAUCUGGCAGAGGGGGGUAGAAUUCCACGUGUAGCAGUGAAAUGCGGAGAUAUGUGGAGGAACACCGAUGGCGAAGGCAGCCCCCUGGGUCAAGAUUGACGCUCAUGCACGAAAGCGUGGGGAGCAAACAAGAUUAGAAACCCUUGUAGUCC
rnacentral:rRNA from 1 species